rnacentral:rRNA from 1 species
UAGGGAAUCUUCCGCAAUGGGCGAAAGCCUGACGGAGCAACGCCGCGUGAGUGAUGAAGGUCUUCGGAUCGUAAAACUCUGUUAUUAGGGAAGAACAAAUGUGUAAGUAACUAUGCACGUCUUGACGGUACCUAAUCAGAAAGCCACGGCUAACUACGUGCCAGCAGCCGCGGUAAUACGUAGGUGGCAAGCGUUAUCCGGAAUUAUUGGGCGUAAAGCGCGCGUAGGCGGUUUUUUAAGUCUGAUGUGAAAGCCCACGGCUCAAACGUGGAGGGUCAUUGGAGACUGGAAAACUUGAGUGCAGAAGAGGAAAGUGGAAUUCCAUGUGUAGCGGUGAAAUGCGCAGAGAUAUGGAGGAACACCAGUGGCGAAGGCGACUUUCUGGUCUGUAACUGACGCUGAUGUGCGAAAGCGUGGGGAUCAAACAGG